CACUGGGUCUUACCCGAGCCGUGAGGAACCGGUUGCCUGUAGUGGGCACGGUUUGGUGCACAACAAACGUUGAGCCGCAAGGGAUUUUGCGGUGAUGGGACUGCCAGACACACUAUUGGGCUUUGAGACAACAGGCCCGUGCCCCUUUUUUGGGGGGUGGCAUCCGGUUGCGGGUGUCGGCGUGUUGUUGCCUCACUUUGGUGGUGGGGUGUGGUGUUUGAUUUGUGGAUAGUGGUUGCGAGCAUCUAGCACGCAGUGUG
rnacentral:misc_RNA from 1 species